rnacentral:rRNA from 1 species
GACGAACGCUGGCGGCGUGCCUAAUACAUGCAAGUAGAACGCUGAAGGAGGAGCUUGCUCUUCUGGAUGAGUUGCGAACGGGUGAGUAACGCGUAGGUAACCUGCCUGGUAGCGGGGGAUAACUAUUGGAAACGAUAGCUAAUACCGCAUAAGAGUAGAUGUUGCAUGACAUUUACUUAAAAGGUGCAAUUGCAUCACUACCAGAUGGACCUGCGUUGUAUUAGCUAGUUGAUGGGGUAACGGCUUACCAAGGCGACGAUACAUAGCCGACCUGAGAGGGUGAUCGGCCACACUGGGACUGAGACACGGCCCAGACCCCUACGGGAGGCAGCAGUAGGGAAUCUUCGGCAAUGGACGGAAGUCUGACCGAGCAACGCCGCGGGAGUGAAGAAGGUUUUCGGAUCGUAAAGCUCUGUUGUAAGAGAAGAACGAGUGUGAGAGUGGAAAGUUCACACUGUGACGGUAUCUUACCAGAAAGGGACGGCUAACUACGUG